rnacentral:rRNA from 1 species
UAGUCCACGCCGUAAACGAUGAUAACUAGCUGUUCGGGCCCACAGGGCUUGAGUGGCGCAGCUAACGCAUUAAGUUAUCCGCCUGGGGAGUACGGUCGCAAGAUUAAAACUCAAAGGAAUUGACGGGGGCCUGCACAAGCGGUGGAGCAUGUGGUUUAAUUCGACGCAACGCGCAGAACCUUACCAGCUUUUGACAUCCUGGUCGCGGAUUUGGGAGACCAUUUCCUUCAGUUCGGCUGGACCAGUGACAGGUGCUGCAUGGCUGUCGUCAGCUCGUGUCGUGAGAUGUUGGGUUAAGUCCCGCAACUAGCGCAACCCUCAUCCUUAGUUGCCAGCAUUUAGUUGGGCACUCUAAGGAACUGCCGGUGAUAAGCCGGAGGAAGGUGGGAUGACGUCAAGUCCUCAUGGCCCUUAUGGGUAGGGCUACACACGUGCUACAAUGGGCAGUACAGAGGGUUGCAAAGCCGCGAGGUGGAGCUAAUCUCAUAAACCUGUUCGUAGUCC